GGCGAGCGGCGGACGGGUGAGUAAUGUCUGGGAAACUGCCUGAUGGAGGGGGAUAACUACUGGAAACGGUAGCUAAUACCGCAUGACCUCGAAAGAGCAAAGUGGGGGAUCUUCGGACCUCACGCCAUCGGAUGUGCCCAGAUGGGAUUAGCUAGUAGGUGAGGUAAUGGCUCACCUAGGCGACGAUCCCUAGCUGGUCUGAGAGGAUGACCAGCCACACUGGAACUGAGACACGGUCCAGACUCCUACGGGAGGCAGCAGUGGGGAAUAUUGCACAAUGGGCGCAAGCCUGAUGCAGCCAUGCCGCGUGUGUGAAGAAGGCCUUAGGGUUGUAAAGCACUUUCAGCGAGGAGGAAGGCAUCACACUUAAUACGUGUGGUGAUUGACGUUACUCGCAGAAGAAGCACCGGCUAACUCCGUGCCAGCAGCCGCGGUAAUACGGAGGGUGCAAGCGUUAAUCGGAAUUACUGGGCGUAAAGCGCACGCAGGCGGUUUGUUAAGUCAGAUGUGAAAUCCCCGCGCUUAACGUGGGAACUGCAUUUGAAACUGGCAAGCUAGAGUCUUGUAGAGGGGGGUAGAAUUCCAGGUGUAGCGGUGAAAUGCGUAG
rnacentral:rRNA from 1 species